AUUGAACGCUGGCGGCAUGCUUUACACAUGCAAGUCGAACGGCAGCGCGGGCUUCGGCCUGGCGGCGAGUGGCGAACGGGUGAGUAAUACAUCGGAACGUGCCCAGUAGGGGGGGAUAGCUCGGCGAAAGCCGGAUUAAUACCGCAUACGACCUGAGGGUGAAAGCGGGGGAUCUUCGGACCUCGCGCUUUUGGAGCGGCCGAUGGCAGAUUAGCUAGUUGGUGGGGUAAAGGCCUACCAAGGCGACGAUCUGUAGCUGGUCUGAGAGGACGACCAGCCACACUGGGACUGAGACACGGCCCAGACUCCUACGGGAGGCAGCAGUGGGGAAUUUUGGACAAUGGGCGAAAGCCUGAUCCAGCAAUGCCGCGUGUGUGAUGAAGGCCUUCGGGUUGUAAAGCACUUUUGGCGGGAACGAAAAGGACUGUGCCAAUACCACGGUUCGAUGACGGUACCCGCAGAAUAAGCACCGGCUAACUACGUG
rnacentral:rRNA from 1 species